GUGCUCGCUUUGGUAGCACAUAUAUUAAAAUUGGAACAAUACGGAGAAGAUUAGCAUGGCCCCUGCGCAAUGAUGAUACGCAAAUUCGUGAAGUGUUCCAUAUUUUU
rnacentral:snRNA from 1 species